CUGUAACGGUCGCGGCGGGCGCGAGCGCUCUGUGUGGGGGCUGUAGGUUCCCCCCGUUAAACGCCCCCUGAGGUGGGGUCCGGCCCGGACCUGCUCGGCGGGAAACGGGGCGGGCGCGGCCGCCGCCUCCUCCCCUCCGCACCCUCCCCGCCGACCCGCCCGGGGCCGCACUGACAGCAGAUGUGGCAUAUCAGAGUUUGGAAUCACCAUCACCUGUGUAUCUGAGGGUGGCAGAAUGGGAUUACUAUGAGCACAUUUCAGUGUCGACUUCCAAGGACUGCAAAGGGUGUUGGACAGGACUGCAUGAUGGCUCUUCAAGCUGUGUCUUCCUUGAUCAUCUUAAAUACUAACUCAGCUACUAUGUUGUUGUCAAGAUGAGCUUAUGACAGUGAAAACUGGAGGAAAUUACAUGCCCUUGUGCUAUGCAGAAGGUCAACAAAGAUGCCCAUCACGUCCAGGAAACUAUAAAUAGAUACUGUACAAAAAUCAGCAGAGGAGAGGUCAUCAUGUGAAACUGCGCAAAUUUAUGUGCCCAAUUUGGGAGCUAAAGGUUAGGUUCCCCAUAUGGACAGAAAUAAAUUUCUUUUCAAUUUC